AUGAUCAUCCCUCUAAGAGAACUGCAAAAGGCCACAAACAACUUUCAUCCAACUCGUAAGCUUGGUGGUGGAGGUCAUGGUACUGUGUACAAAGGAAUUUUGUCAGGUUUGCAUGUUGUUGCCAUCAAAAAGUCAAAUAUUGUGGUCAAGAGAGAGAUUAACGAGUUUAUAAAUGAAGUUUCCAUACUCUCACAGAUCAAUCAUAGGAACAUCGUAAAGCUUUUUGGAUGUUGCCUUGAGACAGAAGUUCCUUUGUUGGCUUAUGAGUUCAUUUCCAAUGGAACCCUAUGUGGUUAUCUUCACAAGAAACCACUAAGAUCAAUACGUUGGCAAGACAUAUUAAGGAUUGCAACAGAAAUUGCCAAAGCUCUUGCUUACCUUCACUCUAGUAUUUCUGUCCCCGUAAUACAUAGAGAUAUCAAGUCUACUAAUAUACUUCUUGAUGAUGCGUUGACAACAAAGGUGUCUGACUUUGGAGCUUCAAGGCACACUCCCAAGGACCACACAUGGAUAACAUCCACGGUGCAAGGCACUUUAGGAUAUUUAGAUCCCACAUACUUUUACCAUGGUCGGCUAACAGAAAAAAGUGAUGUUUAUAGUUUUGGAGUAAUCCUUAUUGAGUUGCUUACAAGGCAAAUGCCAAUUAUGUACAAAUCUUCUAAAGGUGAUGGGCUUGCUGCACAGUUCAUUGAACUACAUGCAGAAGAUAAAUUGGUAGAGAAAUUGGAUUCACAAGUCAGGGAGGAGGAAGGUAGCCAAGUUGAAGAAGUAGCCGCUCUAGUUGUGUCAUGUACAAAGCUAAGAGUAAAGGCAUGA
rnacentral:rRNA from 1 species